UUUGAAACACCGGUUCCUGUUCGAUCGCCGAAAUUAAGCAUCCUCUACCCUGGUCAGUACCUAGAAGGGUGACGGCUUGUGAAUACUAGGUGUCGUAAG